CCUACGGGGAGCAGCAGUGAGGAAUAUUGGUCAAUGGACGAGAGUCUGAACCAGCCAAGUAGCGUGAAGGAUGACUGCCCUAUGGGUUGUAAACUUCUUUUAUAUGGGAAUAAAAUGUUCCACGUGUGGGAUUUUGUAUGUACCAUAUGAAUAAGGAUCGGCUAACUCCGUGCCAGCAGCCGCGGUAAUACGGAGGAUCCGAGCGUUAUCCGGAUUUAUUGGGUUUAAAGGGAGCGUAGGUGGAUUGUUAAGUCAGUUGUGAAAGUUUGCGGCUCAACCGUAAAAUUGCAGUUGAAACUGGCAGUCGUGAGUACAGUAGAGGUGGGCGGAAUUCGUGGUGUAGCGGUGAAAUGCUUAGAUAUCACGAAGAACUCCGAUUGCGAAGGCAGCUCACUGGACUGCAACGGACACUGAGGCUCGAAAGUGUGGGUAUCAAACAGGAUUAGAUACCCGUGUAGUC
rnacentral:rRNA from 1 species